CUCCGUUCACACAAGUUGAUAUCGAUUAAUUUUACGUACAACAAUGAUGUAUUUUUAAAAAGUUUAUUCUAAAAAAUUCUCAAGUAAUAAUUACAGCAAAGGCUCGGCCUUUGUUCUGCAGUCUUUUUAAUACAUGAAGGAAGAGGCAGCUUGGAUCCAGGUGUAGGCGGAGGUUUAUUACUAAAAUAUGGCAUUUGAAGAGCUUGACUACAUGUACAUCUUUCCAAUGGAUUAAUAUUCAACAGACAAGCUAUCAAGUCCAGCAGAUCAUCACCAGCAGCCGUGAAAAUGUGUUUUAAAGGAGUACCAGGGAAAGGUUUGAAUUGUAUAAAAUCCGUCAACUCAGUCAUUCCUGGCCACGUUUCUUCCGUGGGUGUACCUAAUGUCUGUAAUAAAAAUUAAUUAUCACUUUA